AGGUGGUUAAAGCAGUGAGGUUCCACCUCUUCCCAUUCCGAACAGAGAAGUUAAGCUCACUCACGUCGAUGGUACUGCGUAAAAGUGGGAGAGUAGAUAGCCGCC
rnacentral:rRNA from 1 species